GGUGCUACGGUCGUAAAUGGGUCCUUGAGGCUAUGGAGCUAGCUGUGUGUCAGGACACUGCACCGAGAACAACUAAUGUCGCCCACCACAUGCAGGUGCCCGACACGGUAUGCCGGCAGCCACAAAUUUAGCCCACCAUGCCGCGAGGCAAGGGGAGCCAAACACCACGUCCUUACCCCAUAGGAUGGGGUAGGAGUGUCUUUUGGCGUGACACCCAGGCAGACGUGCCCUCAACCAGAAGGCCUCGGGCGCAACUUGCGUUCAAAAACUCGAUGGUUCGCGGGAUUCUGCAAUUCACACCAGGUAUCGCAUUUUGCUACGUUCUUCAUCGAUGCGAGAGCCGAGAUAUCCGUUGCCGAGAGUCGUGUGGAUUUAGAUAGCAACAUUGCAUGGGACAUGCGCGGCAAGCCGAACAAGACCCCAAGCAAGGCAAUAUCAGUGUUCCUUGACGCCUUCGGCGCCCUGGGUUCUUUUGGCGGCCUCCCUCCAACAUAAAGGAGAAGGGGGGCCUUGGUCGGAACGUAGCCCGACGACAUUGAUGACAUGUUCACGGUCUGUUUUGUUUAAGGGUCACGACAAUGAUCCUUCCGCAGGUUCACCUACGGAAACCUUGUUA
rnacentral:misc_RNA from 1 species